GAUGAACGCUGGCGGCAUGCCUAAUACAUGCAAGUCGAACGGGAGGAAGGAAAGCUUGCUUUCCUGAAUCUAGUGGCGAACGGGUGAGUAACGCGUAGGCAACCUGCCCUUAGACGGGGACAACAUUCCGAAAGGAGUGCUAAUACCGGAUGUGAUCAUCUUGCCGCAUGGCAGGAUGAAGAAAGAUGGCCUCUACAAGUAAGCUAUCGCUAAAGGAUGGGCCUGCGUCUGAUUAGCUAGUUGGUAGUGUAACGGACUACCAAGGCGAUGAUCAGUAGCCGGUCUGAGAGGAUGAACGGCCACAUUGGGACUGAGACACGGCCCAAACUCCUACGGGAGGCAGCAGUGGGGAAAUCUUCCGCAAUGGACGAAAGUCUGACGGAGCAACGCCGCGUGAGUGAUGAAGGAUUUCGGUCUGUAAAGCUCUGUUGUUUUAUGACGAACGUGCAGUGUGUGAACAAUGCAUUGCAAUGAC
rnacentral:rRNA from 1 species